AUGCAGCCUUUCAGCUGUAAACUGACUGCUUGCAAAUCCCUGAAUCCACCGGUAUUGGUCUUUGUUCAAAGCAAAGAGAGGGCAAAAGAGCUCUACAGAGAGCUGGUAUAUGACGACAUUAGAGUUGAUGUAAUCCAUGGAGACCUUACUGAAGAGCAGCGUCAAGAUGCUGUUGACAACUUGAGAGCUGGAAAAAGGUGGGUGCUAAUAGCAACAGAGGUUCUCCCGCGGGGAAUGGAUUUCAAAGGUGUCAAGUGUGUAAUCAACUAUGAUUUCCCUGAGUCCGCGUCUGCCUACAUUCACAGAAUAGGACAGUCCGGAAGAGCAGGCAGAUCGGGGGAGGCGAUCACGUUCUUCACGGAGGAGGACAAGCCGUUCCUGUGGAACAUCGCCAACAUACUGGUAUCUUCGGGCUGCGAGGUUCCUUCCUGGAUGGUGGCGUUGCCCAAGCUCAAGAGCAGGAAGCACAGGGUGGACAGGUACCGCAUCUCCUUUUUAACCGAUGAAGAUUGA
rnacentral:rRNA from 1 species